UGGAGCCUGCGGUUUAAUCGGACUCAACGCCGGGAAACUCACCAGAUAAGACAGCUGAAUGAUAGUCGGGCUGAAGACUCUACUUGACUAGCUGAGAGGAGGUGCAUGGCCGUCGUCAGUUCGUACUGUGAAGCAUCCUGUUAAGUCAGGCAACGAGCGAGACCCACGCCAACAGUUGCCAGCUCGUCCUCCGGGAUGGUGGGGACACUGUUGGGACCGCCUCUGCUAAAGAGGAGGAAGGAAUGGGCAACGGUAGGUCAGCAUGCCCCGAAUUAUCUGGGCUACACGUGGGCUACAAUGGGUGGGACAAUGGGUAUCGACACCGAAAGGUGAAGGCAAUCUCCUAAACCCAUCCGUAGUUCGGAUUGUGGGCUGCAACUCGCCCACAUGAAGCUGGAAUCUGUAGUAAUCGUGUCUCAAAAUGGCACGGUGAAUAUGUCCCUGCUCCUU
rnacentral:rRNA from 1 species